AAAGAUUUAUUUACCCGUGUGCAUCCUGAAGCAUCAACGAGCAAUGUUGAGGACAGAAACACAUCACAGAGGGUGACAUGGACAGCCAAAGGUCGAAAGGCGGCGGCGGUGUCUCGGGCUUCAUGAUGUUGGAAUCUUCCAGCGUGGAAUAGCUCACCGUUAGGACUUUCUUGCGCCGCCGGGAUCCGAGCGGAAUCGUCACGCGCUGCCGCCGGGAUCCAUGGAAGCCGAUGCUCCUCCCUCACGGAUUGUGCCACGGCCACCACGGCAUCGUCUAGAUCCGGUCACGCGGAGGCGGGGAAGUCUGCCGGCGGCUCCCUGACGACGGGGAAGUCCGAGGAGGCCUUUUCCUCCAUGAAUGAGGCGUCAAGUCCCCAUCGGCGCCCGGUUGACGCAAGCGCCGGACCGGAUCUUGCUUCCGUGGCGUCAGGGAAGACGGCGAGGACCUCCGUGACUCCAUCCUUGGUUGUCGUGCCAGCGUUAGUUGCAUCGCCGGAGUUGAAGGAGAGGC
rnacentral:lncRNA from 1 species